rnacentral:lncRNA from 1 species
GGACAAAUCCUCAGUGAUGUUCCAUCAUCUCCUCCUUGGUGUUGCGCUGGCUGUGAUGUGUAUUGAUUGUUCAGUGAUGGAGAGUGCAGGAGAUAACCAGAGGAUAAGUCUGUCGGUGAUGGAGAACUCUUCUGUCGUGCUGCCUUGUGUCGCCGCCGAUGGCACUGACAAGCUGGAGUCAGCGUGGUGGUGUUUGAGAAUGAACUUACUUCGCUGGAGUGAGGAUGGACGGAGUGGGACAUUGUGGGGGGAUUUAGGGAUCAUGUUCGGGUAAUUGAGGUGAGAGUAGGACAGGUGGUGAGAUGGUGCAGGAAACAAACCAGAAACUUCUCCUUGGUGAUGCAUCACGUGGCCGCAGAAGAUACUGGAAUGUACGAAUGCAAGAUUAGAAUGGAAUCAGGAAAAGAGAACAUAACAAGCAAGUUCUGGGUGAAUAUACAAACAGGCCAAGAUGAUUCCAAGUAUUCAAAUUCAAACCAAACAACAUCCUCCACCUGUUCAACUGUCUCGCCCAGUACAAACCUGACCAAAAUGAAUGACUAUCAAUUCUACUUUAUUCCUUUCCUGUGCGUCUCUGGGAUCAUGGCAUUUUUCUUCUUCUUCUGCAUCUACCUUUUGGUGAAGAUCAUCCAAUUGCAACGAGAUUCAACAGAGCGGAGCAAACCCCAGGACGAUACAGACCAGACAGACCCACUGUCACCAAAACCCACUGAACCGACCUAUGUGACAGCAGAAAAGUCCGAAGUUGUGGAGAACCCAUACAGCUCUAUCAAUCCAACCUGUCCUGAGCUUCCAACACGUCCGGUGCUUCCCUCAGCCAGGAACAAAAGCCAGUGGUUGUGAUUACAAACCAUUUUGUACUUAAUGCAUUGUGUGGAUAUGCUUUGCCUGAAAACAUUUUGUAUAAACUUUUAAAACAAUGUAAAAUAGGACGAUGUUAAAAUACAAAAGGACCGAAAUGGUUUCAGAUUUUAAAACACAGGCCCACCUACUCAAAGCAAAAUAUUCAGUCUUUCUGUAAUUUUUUGCCAAACAAGAGCUUAUUUUUUAUGUGCUGUUAAAUCUUGGUGUCAUUAUUUUAUAAUUAACAUUUUUUUUUCCUUUUUGACAAUGUCGUUGUCUUCUCAUUGUUACAAAUAGAAAGACUUCAGUGUGACAAUCAGUUUGUCUUUGCAAUUUGUUGGCUUGAUGCGUUUCCAUCAAACCGCUUAAUGUGCUCUCAUUUGUACGAAUAAACGUCCGUGUAUGAGACAUUCGUUAGAGUCCUUUUCUCUUCCUUGUAAUUUGACUGGUUGCAUUGGAGUGCUGGGUUUAAGCUGACAAUGACAUAACCC